rnacentral:piRNA from 1 species
UCGACCUGGACGUGAGGACGACUCUC